CCCGGUAGAAGAGGCGCUGGCGGUCGGGGCUGACGCGGAAGGUCUCCUGGAUCUUCUCCCGCAGGCACUCGAUCUUGAUUGUAAGCCACUCUGUUGUGCAGGAAGCUGAAGUUCAUUGUUUUGGGAGGACGCCUUGCACUUGCAAACCUGCGGACCACUAAUGGAGAUGCUUUUUAAUUUGUUCAGAGCAAAGUUUCCUGAGGCAGUGGAACUCGCCGCACGGUAAUACGGUACUCAAGGAAAUGCAAAACCAGAGAGUGGUAAGGGAGCCAUCCAGUGGAUUGUUGUGAAACAUACAGCCAAGACAAAAUUUAUAAUCUGAGGGUGUUUUUUCUGCCUUUUUGGUUGCAAAACGUUGGGUGUUGUGCUUUUGUCGAAAACCUGCUUGUACUAUUAAAUGCCCAAUUCCUUUACUUUUUGUGUUCAUUGUAAAGAACUAAUUUUCCCAAAAACUUGAAAGUUUUUGACAAUCAGGAUAUUGCGCUGCUUUUUCUAGAAUACUCAUUCAAUUAAACUGUGAACACCAAACUCCAUUUUUUCUCAGUGUAUGUAAUGGAAAGGGAAAUGUACUGUAUAAAAAUGAAUGAGGUUGGAAGGUAUUAAUUCAUCCUUUUGAUUUCAAUUCUGAAAUACAGUUUAAUCCUAAUGUUU